CAAAAUCUAGUUGUCAUGUGUACAAGCCUCUAAAUUAUUACAAUUGAAUCAAAAGAAAAUAUAAGCCUCAUAUGACAUUGUAUCUAUAGUAGAACAAAAUCAUAUAUAGGAGUAAGAAGGUCUGCUAAGAUGACAAACAGCUACCUCACAAAUCUCCUAGAAGCCUAGGAAGAAGAGAAUAUCACAAAGGUCCGAGUUGGUAACCUAAAAAAAGUUGUAGAAGCAAUGGUUGAAUACCCAACAACACGGUACUCCGCAAGUAAACCUCUAUACACAACCUAAUGGGAUGAAAUACGAGAACUCCUACCACCUCAACCGAACCUCCACAACUACAACCUACAUAAAACUCAUCCCAACCUAACGG
rnacentral:misc_RNA from 1 species